rnacentral:rRNA from 1 species
GACGGAGGGUGCUAGCGUUGUUCGGAAUGACUGGGCGUAAAGGGCGCGUAGGCGGCUCGGCACGUCCGUUGUGAAAUCGCCCGGCUCAACUGGGCGGGGUCAGCGGAUACGGUCGAGCUUGAGCAAGCUAGGGGGCAAUGGAAUUCCCGGUGUAGUGGUGGAAUGCGUAGAUAUCGGGAGGAACACCAGUGGCGAAGGCGGUUGCCUGGGGCUUUGCUGACGCUGAGGCGCGAAAGCGUGGGGAGCGAUCCGG